rnacentral:rRNA from 1 species
UACGUAGGUGGCAAGCGUUAUCCGGAUUUACUAGGUGUAAAGGGCGUGUAGGCGGGGACGCAAGUCAGAUGUGAAAACCACGGGCUCGACCUGUGGCCUGCAUUUGAAACUGUGUUUCUUGAGUACUGGAGAGGCAGACGGAAUUCCUAGUGUAGCGGUGAAAUGCGUAGAUAUUAGGAGGAACACCAGUGGCGAAGGCGGUCUGCUGGACAGUAACUGACGCUGAGGCGCGAAAGCGUGGGGAGCAAACAGG